rnacentral:tRNA from 2 species
UCCCUGGUGGUCCAGUGGCUAAGAUUCUGUACUCCUAAUACAGGGGCCUGGGUUCAAUCCCUGGUCAGGGAA